rnacentral:rRNA from 1 species
UACGUAGGUGGCAAGCGUUAUCCGGAAUUAUUGGGCGUAAAGAGCUCGUAGGCGGCUUGUCGCGUCGACUGUGAAAUCCCGCGGCUCAACCGCGGGUCUGCAGUCGAUACGGGCAGGCUAGAGUUCGGUAGGGGAGACUGGAAUUCCUGGUGUAGCGGUGAAAUGCGCAGAUAUCGGGAAGAACACCAGUGGCGAAGGCGGUUGCCUGGAGCUUUGCUGACGCUGAGGCGCGAAAGCGUGGGGAGCGAUCCGG